rnacentral:lncRNA from 1 species
UUUGAAUCUGAUUCAAGCUCUCUAAGUGGAAGUAUAUGCUUCCUACCUGAGAGAGAAUGGGGUUCAAAUCUUGCAGGGACCUUUUGUAAGUAUUCUUUCGCGUUUUUCAUUCGUUUUUAUCGUUAAAGUCAAACUGCGUUUGACUUUCUGCAUUGACCAGUUUAUGGUCAAUGCGAAGUUCGUUUGAACUUCAUAACGUGAGCGUAAUCACGAUGGUUAUAGUCCCUAGUGACUAUACCUACUGAUUACCACGUUAUCUAGGCUCAGUGACGAGUCGUAGUUUCGGCCAAAAUGCGUUUUCUCACGUAUUUUGUAACCAAACUACUCUAGGGUAUUAAAACCAUUUGUUUUAAUACCAAACCUGUUUUCUAACUUAACUAAACAUGUUCUAGCAUGUUUAGCUCGCCACUUUUUAGAUCGGUGCUUAUGUAGGGUCAUAAGGUAAGCGAUCUAAACAAUCGCUUAUACUUUCGAACCCGACCCGUUUGGUCGAUCAUUAGGAUCCAACCAAACAUGUUUAGUAACCAUAGUUGUAUAGGGAAUAACCUUCCGAGGUUAUACCUUAUGGUCACUUCGUUUAUGUAGUUGUAUGAUAGGUAGUUUAUAUGCCUUAGGUAAAUUACCAAAAUACCCUUUUUAUGCAUAAUUGAUAUUUAAGCAUAUGUAACCCAAACUUUUGUUAUUUAACUAAUUAUGCAACAUAAUUUAACAUGUUUAGGCAUAUAAUACUUGUCAUAAGACUAGUUAGGCGGUCCGAACGCGUUUUACGCAAACGACGCGUUAAAGUAGCGUAAGCUACCUAAACGGGUCGUGAUGGGUCGUAAGCACUUAGGAUAGGUUUCAUUUUAGUAUGUAGGCCUUGUUAAAGCAUAUCAUAUGAGUACCCACACUCAUUUGGUUUACGAGACCUCAUACUAUCCGAUCUCCCGAUUUUAGGUCCGGUUUAUUUAUGUAGUUAUCAAUAUUAGGUGCCGUUUGAUUCCGUGCUCCUCUAGCUUUGCUUGGUGGUUAUCCUAGGACUUCUAAGCAAUCUCAAGUGAGUACAUAGUCCCCUCUUUUACUGUUUUCAACUGUUUUGGGGUGAAGCAUGUGUACCUAUCUGUUAUUUUCAUGAUUUCAAAGUAUAAUUGAUUAUACAUGUUAGUACUUAUCUUUUGACAAACUAAAUGACUAUCUAUGGUUUAAACACUGAUUUUUCAAAGAUUAUGAAAUUAAUUGUUGGAAUAGUACUUAUUUUUGUUCACCAGACCGGUUGGUAGUAUGAUAUAGCGCUAUAGGAUUUGACACCCCAUUCCUGUUGUCAUGGAAUGUCUGAAACCAAUUUGUUGCUCCAUCCAAAUAGGGAUUGCCUUUGUGGUAUUUCUAUAGUCUCAAAGGUGUAUUUUGAUACACUAGGUCUGAAUGAAUUCUUAAAUCACAUUAUUUUUGUAUAUUAAGUUAUACUCUCAAAAGUAUAGUUUGAUAUGCUCUCAUAUGGUAUAUUGUACAAAAACCAACAUAUAUUUUGUUAAUCAUUAAAACAUAGUUUGAUAUGUUAUCUUCAUAAUCCAAAGCAUAGUUUUAAUAUGUUAUUUUCAAACCAAAACAUAGUUUAAUAUGUUAUUUAUAAAUCCAAAGUAUACUUUUGAUAUACUACUGAAAACUUAUUUAUGUUACCAACUAAAGUAUGAUAACGGGACGGGUGUAAUGUUAUGAAAACAUGGUAGAUACGCCGCUGGUACUUCUUAUAUAUAAGUGUUUUCGUCGCAUUACAAACCGUGGCGUUAUUUAGUACACUUGGGUUAAUGGUUUUGGAACUAAAAUAUAUUUUAAUAUAUAACUUAUUCAACUUUCUUAAAACCGAAGUAUAUUUUUAUAUAUACUAUAAACCUUUUUAUCAAAAUGUUGUUUAUCAAACAAUAUAUUUUAUACAAACUCAUUUUACUUAAUUAUUUAAUAACCUAUGUAUCUCACAGGCAUUUUUUAUGCUGACGUACCUAUUUUUACACAUGUUUCAGGUACUGCUCUGUGAUGAUUGAUGAUAUAUGCUACACUUAGGAUGGACUCGUGCCUUAGAGACUUUAAAACUUGAAAGAUAAUAGUUGUACUUAUUUGAUUGUAUUAAAACAAUGAGUUCAUUUAUUCAAUAAAACAACAUUUCAAUUU